rnacentral:lncRNA from 1 species
CCAGAGGAGUCAGAUAUAAUCAGAUGUUCUGUUUCCAUUUACAGAGCCCUGGAAAUGUUUGAGGCCGGUUGUCAUAAGUCACGGUUCCAGCCAGUGCUGUGCUGAGCCAUGUUGCAAAAGGAAGGCUGUGUACUACAUACUACAUAACUGGAUACAUGGUUUUAUGUAUUUUUUAAAAUGGUUACUGGAGGCUCACACCUGUAAUCCCAGCACUUUGGGAGGCUGAGAGGCAGGAGCUCACCAAGUUUUCUAGGCUAGUGUCAAACUCCUGGCCUUGUUACCAGCAGCAAAUCCUACAGGUCUGCAGCAACCUCAAUUCUCACCUCCUCAGAAGAAAUAAUUCGACUGAGAUGCAGAAGUCAGGAGACACUGAGGGAGAUAAAUUAGAAAACUGCAGUGAGGGGGAAGAGGAUUCAAGAUGGAGCCAUAAGAACAACUCAGGAUUGCAGCUCUCAGUGAACGUGCAGAGGGUGAGUCAAAGCCGCAUUUCCAGAUGGAUCUUUAUUGCCCACAGAACGGGGAAAUUCCCAGGUGUAGGAGAGACACAGGACACCAGUGCAGCUGUUUUGGCUGAUGCGGCCGCUUUGGCUGGUGCCUCAGUGCAGCAGCACUCCGCAACACUCCGCACAAAACGC